GCCAGAGUGGCGUAGUGGUUUGAAUGUUGAACUACAACUCUGGGGACCAGGGUUCGAUCCCCAGCUCAGUCA